rnacentral:rRNA from 1 species
UGGGGAAUUGUUCGCAAUGGGCGCAAGCCUGACGACGCAACGCCGCGUGGAGGACGAAGAUCUUCGGGUCGUAAACUCCUGUCGAGCGGGACGAAACCCUCGAGUGUGAACAGCAUUCGAGGCUGACGGUACCGCGAGAGGAAGCCCCGGCUAACUCCGUGCCAGCAGCCGCGGUAAUACGGGGGGGGCAAGCGUUGUUCGGAAUUACUGGGCGUAAAGGGCUCGUAGGUGGCCCCAUAAGUCAGACGUGAAAUCCCUCGGCUCAACCGAGGAACUGCGUCUGAGACUGCGGGGCUUGAAUCCGGGAGAGGGAUGCGGAAUUCCAGGUGUAGCGGUGAAAUGCGUAGAUAUCUGGAGGAACACCGGUGGCGAAGGCGGCAUCCUGGACCGGUAUUGACACUGAUGAGCGAAAGCCAGGGGAGCAAACGGG